rnacentral:rRNA from 2 species
UGAGGAAUAUUGGUCAAUGGUCGAAGGACUGAACCAGCCAUGCCGCGUGAAGGUGACGGCCCUAUGGGUCUUAAACUUCUUUUGUAAGGGAGCAAUAAGUUCUACGUGUAGGAUGAUGAGAGUACCUUACGAAUAAGCAUCGGCUAACUCCGUGCCAGCAGCCGCGGUAAUACGGGGGAUGCAAGCGUUAUCCGGAUUUAUUGGGUUUAAAGGGUGCGUAGGCGGUCUGAUAAGUCAGCGGUGAAAUUUAGGGGCUCAACCUCUACCGUGCCGUUGAUACUGUUGGGCUAGAAUGCGGAUGCCGUGGGAGGAAUGUGUGGUGUAGCGGUGAAAUGCAUAGAUAUCACACAGAACACCGAUUGCGAAGGCAUCUCACGAAUCCGCAAUUGACGCUGAGGCACGAAAGCGUGGGGAUCAAACAGG